rnacentral:rRNA from 1 species
AUUGAACGCUGGCGGCAUGCUUUACACAUGCAAGUCGAACGGUAACAGGCCGCAAGGUGCUGACGAGUGGCGAACGGGUGAGUAAUGCAUCGGAACGUGCCCAGUCGUGGGGGAUAACUACUCGAAAGAGUAGCUAAUACCGCAUACGAUCUAUGGAUGACAGCGGGGGACCGUAAGGCCUCGCGCGAUUGGAGCGGCCGAUGUCAGAUUAGGUAGUUGGUGGGGUAAAGGCUCACCAAGCCAACGAUCUGUAGCUGGUCUGAGAGGACGACCAGCCACACUGGGACUGAGACACGGCCCAGACUCCUACGGGAGGCAGCAGUGGGGAAUUUUGGACAAUGGGCGCAGGCCUGAUCCAGCAAUGCCGCGUGCAGGAAGAAGGCCUUCGGGUUGUAAACUGCUUUUGUACGGAACGAAACGGCUCUGGUUAAUACCCGGGGCUAAUGACGGUACCGUAAGAAUAAGCACCGGCUAACUACGUG